UACGGAGGGUGCAAGCGUUGUCCGGAAUCACUGGGCGUAAAGGGCGCGUAGGCGGCUCAUGAAGGCUGUGGUGAAAGUCCGGGGCUCAACCUCGGAUCGGCCGUGGCGACUCGUGGGCUGGAGCACUGUAGAGGCGGGUGGAAUUCCGGGUGUAGCGGUGGAAUGCGUAGAUAUUCGGAAGAACACCAGUGGCGAAGGCGACUUACUGGACACAUAUUGACGCUGAGGUGCGAAAGCGUGGGGAGCAAACAGG
rnacentral:rRNA from 1 species